rnacentral:rRNA from 1 species
UUUUGUAUAAUGGGUCAGCGACUUAUAUUCUGUAGCAAGGUUAACCGAAUAGGGGAGCCGAAGGGAAACCGAGUCUUAACUGGGCGUUAAGUUGCAGGGUAUAGACCCGAAACCCGGUGAUCUAGCCAUGGGCAGGUUGAAGGUUGGGUAACACUAACUGGAGGACCGAACCGACUAAUGUUGAAAAAUUAGCGGAUGACUUGUGGCUGGGGGUGAAAGGCCAAUCAAACCGGGAGAUAGCUGGUUCUCCCCGAAAGCUAUUUAGGUAGCGCCUCGUGAAUUCAUCUCCGGGGGUAGAGCACUGUUUCGGCAAGGGGGUCAUCCCGACUUACCAACCCGAUGCAAACUGCGAAUACCGGAGAAUGUUAUCACGGGAGACACACGGCGGGUGCUAACGUCCGUCGUGAAGAGGGAAACAACCCAGACCGCCAGCUAAGGUCCCAAAGUCAUGGUUAAGUGGGAAACGAUGUGGGAAGGCCCAGACAGCCAGGAUGUUGGCUUAGAAGCAGCCAUCAUUUAAAGAAAGCGUAAUAGCUCACUGGUCGAGUCGGCCUGCGCGGAAGAUGUAACGGGGCUAAACCAUGCACCGAAGCUGCGGCAGCGACGCUUAUGCGUUGUUGGGUAGGGGAGCGUUCUGUAAGCCUGUGAAGGUGUGCUGUGAGGCAUGCUGGAGGUAUCAGAAGUGCGAAUGCUGACAUAAGUAACGAUAAAGCGGGUGAAAAGCCCGCUCGCCGGAAGACCAAGGGUUCCUGUCCAACGUUAAUCGGGGCAGGGUGAGUCGACCCCUAAGGCGAGGCCGAAAGGCGUAGUCGAUGGGAAACAGGUUAAUAUUCCUGUACUUGGUGUUACUGCGAAGGGGGGACGGAGAAGGCUAUGUUGACCGGGCGACGGUUGUCCCGGUUUAAGCGUGUAGGCUGGUUUUCCAGGCAAAUCCGGAAAAUCAAGGCUGAGGCGUGAUGACGAGGCACUACGGUGCUGAAGCAACAAAUGCCCUGCUUCCAGGAAAAGCCUCUAAGCAUCAGGUAACAUCAAAUCGUACCCCAAACCGACACAGGUGGUCAGGUAGAGAAUACCAAGGCGCUUGAGAGAACUCGGGUGAAGGAACUAGGCAAAAUGGUGCCGUAACUUCGGGAGAAGGCACGCUGAUAUGUAGGUGAAGCGACUUGCUCGUGGAGCUGAAAUCAGUCGAAGAUACCAGCUGGCUGCAACUGUUUAUUAAAAACACAGCACUGUGCAAACACGAAAGUGGACGUAUACGGUGUGACGCCUGCCCGGUGCCGGAAGGUUAAUUGAUGGGGUUAGCGGUAA